GCAUGGUUGGUUUAGUGGCAUAAUUACCGCCUGCCACCAGAUGAGUUCGCGGUAGACCCGGGUUCGAUUCCCGGACCAUGCA